UACGGAGGUGGCAAGCGUUGUUCGGAAUUACUGGGCGUAAAGGGCGCGUAGGCGGCAAGGCAAGUCAGGUGUGAAAGCCCCGAGCUUAACUCGGGAAUUGCAUCUGAAACUGCUGUGCUUGAGUUCUGGAGGGGGUAGUGGAAUUCCCAGUGUAGCGGUGAAAUGCGUAGAUAUUGGGAGGAACACCUGCGGCGAAGGCGGCUACCUGGACAGAAACUGACGCUGAGGCGCGAAAGCUGAGGGGAGCGA
rnacentral:rRNA from 1 species